UACGUAGGGCGCAAGCGUUAUCCGGAAUUAUUGGGCGUAAAGAGCUCGUAGGCGGUUUGUCGCGUCUGCCGUGAAAGUCCGGGGCUCAACUCCGGAUCUGCGGUGGGUACGGGCAGACUAGAGUGAUGUAGGGGAGACUGGAAUUCCUGGUGUAGCGGUGAAAUGCGCAGAUAAUCAGGAGGAACACCGAUGGCGAAGGCAGGUCUCUGGGCAUUAACUGACGCUGGAGGAGCGAAAGCAUGGGGAGCGAACAGG
rnacentral:rRNA from 1 species